rnacentral:rRNA from 1 species
AUACGUAGGUGGCAAGCGUUGUCCGGAUUUAUUGGGCGUAAAGCGAGCGCAGGCGGUUUUUUAAGUCUGAUGUGAAAGCCUUCGGCUCAACCGAAGAAGUGCAUCGGAAACUGGGAAACUUGAGUGCAGAAGAGGGGACAGUGGAACUCCAUGUGUAGCGGUGAAAUGCGUAGAUAUAUGGAAGAACACCAGUGGCGAAGGCGGCUGUCUAGUCUGUAACUGACGCUGAGGCUCGAAAGCAUGGGUAGC